rnacentral:misc_RNA from 1 species
GAACUGCGAUAAGUAAUGUGAAUUGCAGAAUUCAGUGAAUCAUCGAGUCUUUGAACGCACAUUGCGCCCCCUGGCAUUCCGGGGGGCAUGCCUGUCCGAGCGUCAAUGCUGCCCUUCAAGCCCGGCUUGUGUGUUGGGUCGUCGUCCCCUCCGGGGGACGGGCCCGAAAGGCAGCGGCGGCACCGCGUCCGGUCCUCGAGCGUAUGGGGCUUUGUCACCCGCUCGAUAAGGACCGGCCGGGCGCCAGCCGGCGUCUCCAACCUUUUUUUCUCAGGUUGACCUCGGAUCAGGUAGGGAUACCCGCUGAACUUAAGC